GAUCCUUUUCAUCGAUGGAGGUCGACGAUGCGCUCACUAUCCUUGCUCGUGGGCAAGGAGGGGCUUCAGAUUAAAGCUUGAGAUGAUCUUCCCAAUCCUUCCUGUAAGUGGAGGUCGACGAUGCGCUCACAUUCCUUACUCAUGGAUAAGGAGGGGUAUUAGACCAAAGCUAGCAGUGAAACUCUCGAUCCUUUUUACAGGUGGACGUCGAUGAUGCACUCACCAUCCUUGCUCAUAGGUAAGGAGGGGCAUUAGAUUGAAGCUAGCAA
rnacentral:lncRNA from 1 species